UAAGGACGUCCCAAGGAGUCCGGAUUGGAGUGACCAUUCAUAGAAUGAGAGAUUGGCAUGGUAUUUGAGAGCUCGGCAGCGACACAGACAUUAAUUCGUUUUUUUUACAAGUGGCAGAAGCGAUUUUCGAGUGUCUGCCCCAGAUAGUUUCAUUAGAGACGAUUAAAAUAAUUACCAAGAUGUACUUGAUCCAAUUGAGGAGUAAGUAGGCUAUAUUUAAGUUGUGAUAUCGUUAGGAAAUAUUUAGUCCUACUGUGUUAAGGCAAAUUUGGUUUAUUUCAAAAUAAUAUUUUUUUGUUGAUAACGUAUUGUCGAAAGUACGUAGGCAAUCUUACCUACUGAGGAGUGCAUAUUCUUUCCCAGAGGGUCCGUGCUAUUCGGAAUCCUUGGGAUGUCCCUAUCUCUAUCAAGUAUAAAUAUAUAAAAUGGUUAAGUUUUGUGUUAGUUUAGGGUUCAGGGUAAGGACGUCCCAAGGAAUCCGGAUAGCAGUGACCAUUCAUAGAGAGAGACCAGCCCGGUAUUUGAGAGCUAGGCGGCAACACAGACAUACAUUUUCUUUUUUCUUUUCUUUUUAAGUGGCAUAAGUGAUUUUUGAGUGUCUGACCCAGAUCGUUUCCUUAUUAGAGACGAUUAAAAUAAUUACCAAGAUGUCCUUGAUCCAGUUGAGGAUCAAGAUGUGAACCAAUAAGCUUCACUGCAGGUGCUCAAUCCACCACCCUCACUGUUCUCCCUCCACAAGUAAACACAUCAUCUUCUCCUGUUCAACCACCACACUGAAAAUAUACCCCUGUUCCCAUCUCAGUGGAACAUGAUCCAUCCAAGGCCUCAGCUGGAUGCCUGAAAUGUGAGAAAUUCCACUGAGUGCUAAAGGUCGUAACGACGCCUUCUACCUGAACCCGUGGUGGCCCCCAACAGCCACCUUGUACUCCACCUAGCCAAUCAACAGAGAGUAGAUCCUCGCUCGCUGCCUCAUCGUGAGAGAGAGAUCCAGGAAGUUGUUGCCAACCGCCAACGGACACUAGUAGGACUGGAG